rnacentral:rRNA from 1 species
CAUGCAAGUCGAACGGUAACAUUUCUAGCUUGCUAGAAGAUGACGAGUGGCGGACGGGUGAGUAAUGCUUGGGAACUUGCCUUUGCGAGGGGGAUAACAGUUGGAAACGACUGCUAAUACCGCAUAAUGUCUUCGGACCAAACGGGGCUUCGGCUCCGGCGCAAAGAGAGGCCCAAGUGAGAUUAGCUAAUUGGUAAGGUAACGGCUUACCAAGGCGACGAUCUCUAGCUGUUCUGAGAGGAAGAUCAGCCACACUGGGACUGAGACACGGCCCAGACUCCUACGGGAGGCAGCAGUGGGGAAUAUUGCACAAUGGGGGAAACCCUGAUGCAGCCAUGCCGCGUGUGUGAAGAAGGCCUUCGGGUUGUAAAGCACUUUCAGUUGUGAGGAAAAGUUAGUAGUUAAUACCUGCUAGCCGUGACGUUAACAACAGAAGAAGCACCGGCUAACUCCGUGCCAGCAGCCGCGGUAAUACGGAGGGUGCGAGCGUUAAUCGGAAUUACUGGGCGUAAAGCGCACGCAGGCGGUUUGUUAAGCUAGAUGUGAAAGCCCCGGGCUCAACCUGGGAUGGUCAUUUAGAACUGGCAGACUAGAGUCUUGGAGAGGGGAGUGGAAUUCCAGGUGUAGCGGUGAAAUGCGUAGAUAUCUGGAGGAACAUCAGUGGCGAAGGCGACUCCCUGGCCAAAGACUGACGCUCAUGUGCGAAAGUGUGGGUAGCGAACAGGAUUAGAUACCCUGGUAGUCCACACCGUAAACGCUGUCUACUAGCUGUGUGUGUCUUUAAGACGUGCGUAGCGAAGCUAACGCGCUAAGUAGACCGCCUGGGGAGUACGGCCGCAAGGUUAAAACUCAAAUGAAUUGACGGGGGCCCGCACAAGCGGUGGAAGCAUGUGUUUUAAUUCGAUGCAACGCGAAGAACCUUACCUACACUUGACAUGCUGAGAAGUUACUAGAGAUAGUUUCGUGCCUUCGGGACUCAGAACACAGGUGCUGCAUGGCUGUCGUCAGCUCGUGUCGGGAGAUGUUGGGUUAAGUCCCGCACGAGCGCAACCCUGGUCCUUAGUGCCAGCAUUAAGGCUGGCACUCUAAGGAACUGCCGGGUGACAAACGGAGAAGUGGGGACGACGUCAGUCCAUCAUGGCCUUACGUGUAGGGCUACAACGGCUACAUGGCAUUACAGAGGGAACGGGAACGUAUUGGGACGGAACCCCUUAAAGAAAGUGUCGGAACUGGCGGGCAUUUGA